AAAUACAUGAUUAAAUAUUCAAGAUAUUUUGCAUUAAGAAGUAAUUGGAGUCUCUGCUUUGACUGACAUGGGGCGGAAUUGAAUAAUUUCUACGUUGAGCGUAUGCAUAUUUAUGAGAACAAGUACACCAGUCUUACGAAAUUCGGGAACGGAAACCAAUUGUAUUCUGUUUCCCUCAUUAAUGACUGUUUUGCAGCCAAAUUUCGGUUGAUUACCACAAAGAUAUAGAUCAGGCAUUUCCUCCAUUACAAAUGUAUCUUUGUCGGUGAAAGGAUAGCACCCUAAAAUCAUUAGCAAAUAUAUCGUUUGAAAAAUGUACAGAUUACUUACAUAAGGUAUCAGGGCUGGUAGGUGUGAUAUGAUUCCAUAGUAAAGUGUUUUCCAUGCAUUGAAGUGAAGAUUUUUUGGGAUGAUAUUUUCGGAGAUCAUUAAUGUUUUGGCCGCUAGUAGCCAACACAAAAUGAUUGCCAAGAGAAAGCCAAGUGGGAUUCGUAACUGUUUGUAAAGAAGAUCCCAACCAAACUUUUGAUUUAGUAAGUAAAGCGGGAUGCAAAGGCUGUUGAGGAAGGAUAGUUGAACUGUAAUCAUAAGGACCAGGCAUUAAAGUGACAUCUAUGCUGGAACACACUUGAUCAAGAAAAUUAUCUAGUUGGAAGGUGGGAUUUGGAUUGUAAGCAGACGUGUCAUAGCCAUAUCUUUUUACUUUUUUCUUGCCAAUGGGCACGGACGCAGAAGCGGAGUCGGCAAUUUCUAUAGAAGGUGCUAAGCAAUUUCCGAGAAUAAUUAGCCUUUUGAUGGAGGAAGGGGAAAAGGAAGAGACAUGUGGAAGUGUUCCUCUUAGGAAAUCUACAAGCUGAUGAACUUGAAUGCCUUCUAUGCCGUCAUUUGAGAGACCUAAGCCACUGACUGCCGCAAUGUACUCUGGUUGAGCUUGCGAUUCAUCUGUAGUCAUUGGAAUGGAAUGAGAGAAGAUGCCUGGAAAACAAACGUCAACGACAACGAAACGACCUUGUUCAUCUUCAUGGCCCAAAACUGCAAGAACAACUCCUGUAACAACGCCAGCGUCAUACAAAAAGCUUCCGCUACAAUCUAUACGGCCAUAGUCAUCCUCAAGAGCAUAUUCUAUAUCACCUGAAGCAGCAUCUUCUGGGCUAACAUACGGAGAUUCUUCAGUAGUGGUGACAAUUGUAUGAAGUUGUGUGACAUCGUUCAUAACGUUUGGCUUAAGAGCUGUAGUCAUAUAAGCGGUAGCGACAACCCAACAGUCUUCAUCUGACUUAACAUCUAAAACGCGUUCCAAUCGCUGUUUAUCCGGCCAUUUUUUUGAAGCGGCUUCUGUGAUUCUGGGUCGAAGAGCGGUAAGUCGGGCGAAAUAGAUGCUGGCGUACUGUUGACUAUACGUUUGCUGACUUAAACUAAGCUCCAAGCGUUUAGUUUCUUCACAAGGAAUUGAAUGUCUGACUUCAACCAUGAUUAUUUUGUAAAUAUAUACAGUUAGGUAAGUUAAACACUUACCAAAGGAGUAGUCAGGAUAUUAAAUCGAGAUGCUCCACGAAAAAUUUCACAACAAUGGAGAGUGAAGAGUUGUCUACGAUUCAUGCAAUUACUAAAACGAGCGAGUAUUGCAAGUAAAUGUGCGGAAAAAAAUAUAUAUAUAUAUAUAUAUAUAUUUAUAUGAUUUCCCAAAAAACCUAUGAACGGCCCCAAAACACCUGUUUAAAAAAAAGAGGAAUAAAUAUAAUAACGCUUUUGUUGUUUUUUCAAUAAAAUCAGUUCUUUAAAUGUUAUUGACUAAUUUACACAAGCAGCAUAUGUAAAGAGUAAGGAACUUCAAAGGUGUGCUAUGCAAGGUUAAGGGGAAUCAAUUUCAUGGAAUGGAACCAGGUUUAGAAGGUUCGAAUAAGCAAAGGAGUUGGAUGCAGCAGAUCAACAAGUAAGAAUACGUUGUAUAUGAGAAAGUCGUGGUUCCUAACAUGACUAGCUGUUGUUACCUACAACAAUAAAGUGUUUGAAGAACAUCUUUUUUUAAAUGUAAACAAAGAGGUAAACUUGACGAAAAGAGAAAGAAGCUCAAUAAAGGUG
rnacentral:lncRNA from 1 species